rnacentral:lncRNA from 1 species
UGGUAUCUGCCAGAGUCUGUGUCAGUAUGCCUGUACUAGGUCACAACAAUGGCCGCCACCAAAGUCUCAGUCUCUGGAGAGGUCUCACCUCUCACCAAGAUGCACCCAGAGCCUACCAGGACAAGACAAAGGAAGAAAACCAACUUUCCCGUUUUAAGAAAUAGUUCUGCGCUUCAUCACAGAGAGAAGCUUUAAUUGAUCAGCACUUCAUGCAAAUGAAUAAUUUUUAGAUGUUUUCUUCUGGGAGAACCAAGGAGCAACAGGUUCUUGCGUAGAAGCUCAGCGUGGACUUUUAGCUUUUCCAGUGGACUUUGAGGGAAAAAACGUCAGAAGUUCAGCUUUCUCACUUCUGAAAAGGGACUAGUGAUGCCUGUUCUUCGCC